rnacentral:rRNA from 1 species
UACAGAGGGGGCAAGCGUUGUUCGGAAUUACUGGGCGUAAAGGGCGCGUAGGCGGCCUGCUAAGUCGAACGUGAAAUCCCCGGGCUCAACCCGGGAACUGCGUCCGAUACUGGUGGGCUUGAAUCCGGGAGAGGGAUGUGGAAUUCCAGGUGUAGCGGUGGAAUGCGUAGAUAUCUGGAGGAACACCGGUGGCGAAGGCGGCAUCCUGGACCGGUAUUGACGCUGAGGCGCGAAAGCCAGGGGAGCAAACGGG